AUUGAACGCUGGCGGCAGGCUUAACACAUGCAAGUCGAGCGGAAACGAUGAUAGCUUGCUAUCAGGCGUCGAGCGGCGGACGGGUGAGUAAUACUUAGGAAUCUACCUAGUAGUGGGGGAUAGCACGGGGAAACUCGUAUUAAUACCGCAUACGACCUACGGGAGAAAGGGGGCAGUUUACUGCUCUCGCUAUUAGGUGAGCCUAAGUCGGAUUAGCUAGAUGGUGGGGUAAAGGCCUACCAUGGCGACGAUCUGUAGCUGGUCUGAGAGGAUGAUCAGCCACACCGGGACUGAGACACGGCCCGGACUCCUACGGGAGGCAGCAGUGGGGAAUAUUGGACAAUGGGGGAAACCCUGAUCCAGCCAUGCCGCGUGUGUGAAGAAGGCCUUUUGGUUGUAAAGCACUUUAAGCAGUGAAGAAGACUCCGUGGUUAAUACCCACGGACGAUGACAUUAGCUGCAGAAUAAGCACCGGCUAACUCUGUGCCAGCAGCCGCGGUAAUACAGAGGGUGCAAGCGUUAAUCGGAAUUACUGGGCGUAAAGGGAGCGUAGGUGGCUCUAUAAGUCAGAUGUGAAAUCCCCGGGCUUAACCUGGGAACUGCAUCUGAAACUGUAGAGCUAGAGUAUGUGAGAGGAAGGUAGAAUUCCAGGUGUAGCGGUGAAAUGCGUAGAGAUCUGGAGGAAUACCGAUGGCGAAGGCAGCCUUCUGGCAUAAUACUGACACUGAGGCUCGAAAGCGUGGGUAGCAAACAGGAUUAGAUACCCUGGUAGUCCACGCCGUAAACGAUGUCUACUAGUCGUUGGGUCCCUUGAGGACUUAGUGACGCAGCUAACGCAAUAAGUAGACCGCCUGGGGAGUACGGCCGCAAGGUUAAAACUCAAAUGAAUUGACGGGGGCCCGCACAAGCGGUGGAGCAUGUGGUUUAAUUCGAUGCAACGCGAAGAACCUUACCUGGUCUUGACAUAUCUAGAAUCCUGCAGAGAUGCGGGAGUGCCUUCGGGAAUUAGAAUACAGGUGCUGCAUGGCUGUCGUCAGCUCGUGUCGUGAGAUGUUGGGUUAAGUCCCGCAACGAGCGCAACCCUUGUCCUUAGUUACCAGCGGGUUAAGCCGGGAACUCUAAGGAUACUGCCAGUGACAAACUGGAGGAAGGCGGGGACGACGUCAAGUCAUCAUGGCCCUUACGACCAGGGCUACACACGUGCUACAAUGGUAGGUACAGAGGGCAGCUACACAGCGAUGUGAUGCGAAUCUCAAAAAGCCUAUCGUAGCCCAGAUUGGAGUCUGCAACUCGACUCCAUGAAGUAGGAAUCGCUAGUAAUCGCGGAUCAGAAUGCCGCGGUGAAUACGUUCCCGGGCCU
rnacentral:rRNA from 1 species